CUCCUGAAUGUAUCGUCUCUAUUUUCAAUAUCUGAACACACAAGAAAACUAUAAUCUCCUCCUUCACCUUAUCGGUCUCUUUCUUACAGCAAUUCAAUCAUACCAAUAACUGCUAUUUCUACCAAUAUAUUCACCCUCAUAAUCUCCAACUGUAAUACUAUGCCCUCACAGCUUUCAGCAUACAAUUACCCUCAUUCCAAUCACUGGAAUUCUUCACACAGAACUGCCAUUCACAUUACGAUGUUUCACACAAACACACACUCAUUCUCUCUACUAAACUACAAUCAGAUUUCAACAUUCAAUCUUUCUUCUUCUCAAAUAAUACCAAUCACAUUUCCAUUCCAUAAUUCACUUUACAAUAUUCAGAAACUCUCAAUCUUCUUAUUCAAAGAAAAUAACAAACAAAAGAAAAAAGAUAGCAUCAAGCUUACCCUGGCUCACAACUAUCACAUCGAUGGCACCUUAAUUAACUUCUACAACUCCUAUAUACUUUCCCCUGAUUCUCCAAAUUCUAAUCGUAAUUCUGUAAUUAAUCACUUUUAAGAACUAAAUCACUCAUCCAUCCUCCUGAAUUUCCUAUUAUAUGGACUAUUAAUAUAUUUUACCAAUAUCUUUCAAAAACAAAUUAAUAUCUAUUCUACAUAGCCCCACACCUAUCUGUGCAACGUCCUUGCAAACACUCAAUUGAUACCUAUCUAAAAAUUACUUAACAAAUCUUGACAAAAAUUGUGAUCCCUCUGGCCUAUCUAAUUAAUCAAUUGUCGGAGCAUCUGUUAUUGGUUCUACGGAUUCCGAUUCCAACUGCAAAUCUUUGUCUUCCUCCAAUCCUUCCAUCGCCUCCUGCCUCAAUUGAGCUAAAAGGUCUUUAUUGUACUCGCCUAGUUCAUGGACUUGAGCUUCAAAUUUCAAGAUCUAGACAUCCCAAAGUUCCAAUUGUUGCUGCUGACUCAUCCAUUCUGGAAUAUCUUCAAUCGAUACUUGUGAUCGACUCCUCACUGUUAACUUUUAUUUGGAACUACUACUCUUGAAAAUACAAGAAAUAUAAGAAAAUGGCACUCUAGCCAAUCCAAAACAACACCACAGAAUGACUUUAACUAAUGGCCCACUCCUAUUCUUUUACUAUCUGGUGAUAAUGACAACAUGUUAUCCAUAUUGUUCGUGAAAGGUAAUGAGAAGUAAUCUUUCUUGGUGGCCGCAUUAAGUUUCGAGAAAUCCUGACAAAUUCAGAUUUUCCCAUUCUUUUUUGGCACCAUCACGAUUGAAGAAACCCACUCACUAUUUGGUACUGGGUAAAUAAAACCAACCGCAAGAAGCUUGUCCAAUUCCUCCUUUACCAUGAGGGAAUAUUUAAGAUUAAGGCGAUAUUGCCUCUGCCGUAUCGGUUUAGCGUUCUCCUCUAAAAUAAUAUGAUGCUCACAGACUUUAGUGAGAAUACCUUUUAAAUUAUCAUAAGUCCAAGUAAAAGCGGAUUUAUAAUGCAAGAAAAAUUCGGUCCAGCAGGUCAAUUCUUGUUCCUUAAUACCUUUGUAGACCUUAAUUGUUCGAGGUUCUGCUGUGGUCGCCAAGUUAAUAGUUUGACAUAAAGGUGCAACAAUGAUGUUCUCUUUCAAUCCCCGUGCUGGUUUAAAGUUAGUCGGUAAGUUCAACAUGUACAAAGUAUUGAAUCCUGUGUCUAGGGUACUAACAUGGUGCACAUCAUACUUGGUCGUCCAAUCAGUACUAACAUAAUCCAAGUUUUCUAAGUCCGUCGGGUAUAUCAAGUACUCCUCCGGACCUCUACAUUGAUACACCACUCCAAGAUAUAGAACUACCUUCACGAGCGCCUCCGUAAUUGGUGCUACUCCGUUGUCAUCGGAGCUAAGCUCAUCGUCCGACGUUAAUUCAGAUGCUGGCAAUUGAGACUCCCCGUGAUAGUGUACUGGGUACAUUUGUAACACCAUUUUGUCUCUGUCCUUGCCAAUUGUCAAAGUACCCCGACUCCAAUCGUUCUUAGCCUUUGCUUGAUAAAGCUAGGGUCGUUUCAAUAAAAUUGGAUACAAUAAAGUCGAAUGUUGUAAUCGAAAGAUGAUAUAGUCGAUUUCAUAUGCAAUACUGGCAAUUAUAGUUUGAACACUCCGUAAGAUACUUAUUGGUUUAACCCGGCUAUGAUCUACUAUCUGUAAUAUCAAUGUCGUGGGUACUAAGUAUUCCAAAUCUAAAGCAUCCAUUGUAUCACCGUUCAUUAAAUUGACGCUAGAACCACCAUCCACCUGAACACCCAAGAUCAUAACACUGUCAAUUGAAACAUCGAUGGUUGGUGCACCUGGGUCAAAGUUCAAACUAACUUCACAAACUUCUUUAUUACGGUGCCUAUGCCGUGUUAACAAUGAAUUCAAUGUAGAAUGGUACUCUAGUGUGACUAUUAAAAGUUACUUCAUAGAAAUAGAAGGCCAAAUAGCAUCCAGAUCCUUCAAAAUAUCAUAGGAUUCCAUAUUUAGGAUUAUUUCCAAUAUCUUCUUUUUUUUCAUUAGUUUGAGUUUAACUCCGUGAGAUAAGAUAUUCUUCUGCCCUGGACUCGAAAUUGGAACAGCAGUCGGGGCUUCCUUGAAAUUCCCACCCUAGAGAGGAUCUUUCAAUGGAUAGGAUGUUUCUCGAAACUACGUAGAGAUUGGAACUGCUUGAAACAGAACCGAAGCCUCCGUAAUUGGGACCUCAUUGGGUUGUGCCACCGAGUCAAGUCUCAUACUAUGUACGAAGCCCGUAAGAGGACCUGGAUUGGAUGGUCUCCUAAUUAGGUCAAAUUGGUCUUUCACAUUGGGAUUAUCUAAAUGUUGAAUUGGUCUUUUUUUCUUUUACCGACUUUGGGUAAGAAUGGCUUGGACACAUUCCACCCAAUUUAUUGGUGAAUCUUGAGGACCUCGAUUUAUUUCCUCAAUUUUUCCUUGGCUUUAGAUCUGCUGAUCCCGAUUAUUGAAAUUGAACGAAGCAUUACAUUAUUGAUACGUAUACCCUAACUGCGUGCAAUUCCCACAAACUGGUGCAUAAUCGUCAUUGGCUCUGGGAUUGGGACAUUCAUUGAUAUAAUGAUCAAUCUGUCUGCAACACAAUGAACAAAGUGGUCUUCUUGUACCUCCAUCAGGCAUAUUGGGUGCCUCCACUGAUAUAUACCUAUUAGGCUUGUUCUAUGUAGGGUUAGAAAAUGAUCUUGGUUGUCCCUUUGGUACUGAGGAAACUUGGUUUGAUGACAUUGGUGGAACAUAUUGCUGAUACCUCUGCUGCUCCUUACCAUACUUCUAGGGGUUCGAUACAGAUCCCUGAAUAAAAUUGAAACUUUGAAAGUUAUUGAAUGCUUGAUUUUUUGAUUAAAUUGAUUUCCAUUCCAUCCAAAUGUAUUUCCCGUUUAUACUUUAUUGACGUUCCACUGGGUUGGUGGGAUCAUGGUUUGAUUACUAAAUUGUUGUUGUUGUCUUUGCCAAUUCCAACAAUUUGCUGUUAGGUGCUUUCCUCCACAAAAUGCACAUUGAUCCAUUAUUUGUGAGGGUGAAGGACAUUCUUUAUAGAAUGACCGUUGCCCUUACAAUUACUGCACCAUACAUUGGUCCUAGUAUUAGUAGGCUUUUGCCUCUUCUCCUUAUCUUUGGCCAUAUUGAUAGCCAUUUCUUCCAUUUUCUUCGUCAAAUUCAAUAACAAGGUUUCAUUGGAAUCAUUUAGAGCUGGCAUUAUUAGUAUCUCUGCCGUAGUUAACGCUUGUUGAUAUGGAAAAUAUGGAGCAUACGCUGUUGUCACAUUCAAUGAUAUAGCUUGCAAUGGGGUGACAUUAACUGGCCUCUGAAUAUUGGUAUUAGAAUUGGUCCCUGUUUCUAACAUCCGUGGAUAACUAUCCACUGAUUCGUUCCAAGUCAGAUUUUGAUAUCUACCUUGAACUGGAAUCAUCGUGGCUCCCGCAAUUAAAAACUGAUCAUAAUGGCAUUCCUUCCAAACCUUGGCUCUAUUAAGGGACGUAGCCAACGUAAUGGUUUGAGCUUCUUUUACAAACAUUUUUAGCUCUAGUGGGUGCAAACCAUUGAUUAAUAUGGAUAAAACAAAUGCCUCCGAUAUUUGGUGAUUCAGCCACUUAUUGAGUAUAUCAGUCACUCGGCCAUAGUACGAUUCCACUGCCUCCCCUAGGAUCAUUUUGCUGUUCAUUAACCUCUCUCGAAGGCGGUCUUCAAAACCAAUUGGUCAAAAAUGAGAUAAAAAUGCAUUCUUUAAUGCUUCCCAAUUCGGAAAUUGACCCACUGAUUGGCGAUUGUACCAUUCAAAUAUCGUGUCUUUUAAGGUCGCUGGCAGCCAUCGCAACCAAAUAUCUUCAAUUCUGCCAUUAUUAGCUACACAUGCUGUAAGAAACUGAGACAAAUAUUGAUCAGGAUCCGCACCCAAAAAUCCCCAAAAAGUAGGUAGUGGCGCGAUACUAGUCGUACGAUCGCCUACUGUACCCAUUUGUACUGCAAUCAGAAUGGCUGGUCUUCCUGACGCCAUUGAAUUUCUUGUUUUAUUAAACUCCAUUUUCAAAUAAUCUCUACUUUUCCUUAUUCUAAUUUUUGAGCUCUUAGUGCUCUUCAAUUUAUUGUUAUUUUCCGCAAUUAGGUUUAUUGAUUGAAUUAUAGGUGAAAACAUCGAAUUUUGAAAUACAAUAUAAUUAUCUUUAUUGGCGAUUAAUUUGUGCCAAUGUGAAGAGCCACUAUUGCUGGUUUCAGCGGUACCCCCUAUUGGAAAAAUACCCAAUGGAGUACCAAAUUCUUCUAUGCUUCCUUCUCUUUAGUUAACGACCUCAAGAUUUCCACUUGAAUUUUAACAAAAUUUCCUGUGAGUGUUCUUGGCAGUUUUUCUAACAAUACAUACGACUGCAAAAUUAAUAGUAUGUCCGGUUCUUGAUAUGUUUGGAUGCACCGACAAGCUUGCAACCAUGGUUUAAUCCAAUUUUGUUGAUGCUUCUUUUUAAGAUUACGUUCUUGCUCUUCUCUAAGAAAGUUCCUUCCUUGCGCUCUUCCCUGUCUUUCUCUCAACUGAUUUAUUUUCCUCAAUGUAAUGCUCUCGUUCUUAUUAACCAUAAUCUUGCUUCAAACACUACUAAAAUCAUCUUCCAUUGCCAAUUUUCUCACACGUUUGGUAAUUAAUUCCUAACACUCAAAGCUAUUAUCACUCUUUGACAAUGGCACCAAAAUGUGAUUACUCGUUUUACUUAUUCCAAAUUAAUCUAAUGGGAAUAAAUCCAUAUAAGGAGAUUCGAAUAUUGAGAAUGACUAGUGGUUAAGUGUUCAUGUUAGGGUCACACAAUCAAUUACCUCUUGAAUGUAUCGUCUCUAUUUCCAAUAUCUGAACACACAAGAAAACUAUAAUCUCCUCCUUCACCUUAUCAGUCUCUUUCUUAUAGCAAUUCAAUCAUAUCAAUAACUGCUAUUUCUACCAAUAUAUUCACCCUCAUAAUCUCCAACUGUAAUACUAUGCCCUCACAACUUUCAGCAUACAAUUACCCUCAUUCCAAUCACUGGAAUUCUUCACACAGAACUGCCAUUCACAUUACGAUGUUUCAUAUAAACACAGACCCAUCUUCUCUGCUGAACUACAAUCAGAUUUCAGCAUUCAAUCUUUCUUCUUUUCAAAUAAUACCAAUCACAUUUCCAUUCCAUAAUUCACUUUAUAAUAUUCAGAAACUCUCAAUCCUCUUAUUCUAAAAAAAUAACAAACAAAAGAAAAGAGAUAGCAUCAAGCUUACCCCAGCUUACAACUAUCACAUCGAUGGCACCUUAAUUAACUUCUACAACUCCUAUAUACUUUCCCCUGAUUCUUUAGAUUCUAAUCGUAAUUUUGUAAUUAAUCACUUUUAAGAACUAAAUCACACAC
rnacentral:lncRNA from 1 species